rnacentral:rRNA from 1 species
GUCGAGAAUAAUUCACAAUGGGGGCAACCCUGAUGGUGCAACGCCGCGUGGAGGAUGAAGGUCUUCGGAUUGUAAACUCCUGUCAUCCGGGAGCAAGACCUGGCCGUGAAUAGCGGACAGGGUUGAUAGUACCGGAAGAGGAAGGGACGGCUAACUUCGUGCCAGCAGCCGCGGUAAUACGAAGGUCCCAAGCGUUGUUCGGAAUCACUGGGCGUAAAGGGAGCGUAGGCUGCGCGGUAAGUCAGGUGUGAAAUCCCGGGGCUCAACCCCGGAACUGCAUCCGAUACUGCCGUGCUAGAGGAUUGGAGAGGUAGCUGGAAUUCUUGGUGUAGCAGUGAAAUGCGUGGAGAUCAAGAGGAACACUCGUGGCGAAAGCGAGCUACUGGACAAUAUCUGACGCUGAGGCUCGAAGGCCAGGGUAGCGAAAGGGAUUAGAAACCCUUGUAGUCC